rnacentral:misc_RNA from 1 species
GAUGAAGAACGCAGCGAAAUGCGAUAAGUAGUGUGAAUUGCAGAAUUCAGUGAAUCAUCGAAUCUUUGAACGCACAUUGCGCCCCUUGGUAUUCCAUGGGGCAUGCCUGUUCGAGCGUCAUUUGUACCUUCAAGCUUUGCUUGGUGUUGGGUGUUUGUCUCGCCUUUGCGUGUAGACUCGCCUUAAAAUAAUUGGCAGCCGGCGUAUUGAUUUCGGAGCGCAGUACAUCUCGCGCUUUGCACUCAUAACGACAGCGUCCAAAAGUACAUUUUACACUCUUGACCUCGGAUCAGGUAGGGAUACCCGCUGAACUCAAGCAUAUCAAUAAGCGGAGGA